AUACUCUGGUUUCUCUUCAAAGCGUGUAAAUCUUUUGCCUUUUAUUAAAGAUUUCCGUGGGGAGAAACAAUUGUGAGCUUUAAAUUAAUUCUUUGAGGCCUUGUUUUAUUAAGGCU
rnacentral:snRNA from 1 species